UGCUCUGGAGAAAGACUAUGAAGAAGUUGGCGCUGAAGGUGCGGAUGAUGAUGAGGAGCCUGAAGAUUACUAAGUGUGCAUGGUGCUUUUUAUCCCCUAAUUUCUUGUCUAGUUCAAGAGCCUGCCCGUUUUCCUUUCUAUAAGCAAUUUUGCUUUGUCUUGUAGUAAAUUUCGAUAAUGUAUCUUUGUGGCUCUAUGUAUGAAAUCAGGAAUAUUUAUGCCACUGUUUUG
rnacentral:misc_RNA from 1 species